CGCCGCGGUAAUACGUAGGGGGCAAGCGUUAUCCGGAUUCAUUGGGCGUAAAGCGCGCGUAGGCGGCCAGCCUGGUCGGGAGUCAAAUCCGGGGGCUCAACCCCCGUCCGCUCCCGAUACCGGCCGGCUUGAGUCUGGCAGGGGAAGGCGGAAUUCCCGGUGUAGCGGUGGAAUGCGCAGAUAUCGGGAAGAACACCGGUGGCGAAGGCGGCCUUCUGGGCCACGACUGACGCUGAGGCGCGAAAGCUAGGGGAGCGAACAGGAUUAGAUACCCUGGUAGUCCUAGCCGUAAACGAUGGGCACUAGGUGUGGGGGGAUCGUCCCUCCGUGCCGCAGCCAACGCAUUAAGUGCCCCGCCUGGGGAGUACGGCCGCAAGGCUAAAACUCAAAGGAAUUGACGGGGGCCCGCACAAGCAGCGGAGCAUGUGGCUUAAUUCGAAGCAACGCGAAGAACCUUACCAGGGCUUGACAUCCAGGUGAAGCGGCGGAGACGCCGUGGCCGAGAGGAGCCUGGACAGGUGGUGCAUGGCC
rnacentral:rRNA from 1 species